rnacentral:rRNA from 1 species
CAGCCGCCGCGGGAAUACGAAGGGGGCUAGCGUUGCUCGGAAUGACUGGGCGUAAAGGGCGCGUAGGCGGUUUGUACAGUUGGGUGUGAAAUUCCUGGGCUUAACCUGGGGGCUGCAUUUGAGACGCGUAGUCUAGAGUGUGAAAGAGGGUCGUGGAAUUCCCAGUGUAGAGGUGAAAUUCGUAGAUAUUGGGAAGAACACCGGUGGCGAAGGCGGCGACCUGGUUCAUAACUGACGCUGAGGCGCGAAAGCGUGGGGAGCAAACAGGAUUAGAUACCCGCGUAGUCCCUGUCUCUUAUAC